rnacentral:rRNA from 1 species
AUUGAACGCUGGCGGCAGGCCUAACACAUGCAAGUCGAAUGGUAACAGGAAACAGCUUGCUGUUUCGCUGACGAGUGGCGGACGGGUGAGUAAUGUCUGGGAAACUGCCUGAUGGAGGGGGAUAACUACUGGAAACGGUAGCUAAUACCGCAUAACGUCGCAAGACCAAAGAGGGGGACCUUCGGGCCUCUUGCCAUCAGAUGCGCCCAGAUGGGAUUAGCUAGUAGGUGGGGUAACGGCUCACCUAGGCGACGAUCCCUAGCUGGUCUGAGAGGAUGACCAGCCACACUGGAACUGAGACACGGUCCAGACUCCUACGGGAGGCAGCAGUGGGGAAUAUUGCACAAUGGGCGCAAGCCUGAUGCAGCCAUGCCGCGUGUAUGAAGAAGGCCUUCGGGUUGUAAAGUACUUUCAGCGGGGAGGAAGGGAGUAAAGUUAAUACCUUGCUCAUUGACGUACCCGCA